AUGUGAGUUGCAAAGUGAGCAUAGGUGGGGAAGCAGACAACUUUAAAUUCAUUAUCAUAACAAUAGUUAUGUCCUCUCAAGUCAAUUCCAGCUGGUGGCAACCCUCACCAAGAUGCCUGUAUUUCCUUCGCAGAGAACAAUCCUCUACUUGAAAGAUUGCCAGUUAUUGUCUAUUUGAAGGCGCCCUCUGUUUGAAGGAGCUGCCCGGUCUAAGAGUAUGAAUAGAUAGAGGAAUUUGGGGUGAUCUAAGUCAUGUUUAAAAGGCUUUUAUUUUUGGUGCAAUCUAUUUUGUCUCACACUUGAGCAAUCAUUCCAUUCUUAUGGGAGAUGUUUCUUCUCCUGUGAGAAGCAUCCAGAUAGCACUCCCUUGCAAAGUCAAGGCAAAGAUGAUGGGGAAUGGAUGGAUAGAUGGAUGGAGAAAUAGACUAACAGGGAUAAGGAACUUGUGAAGAUGGCUAGUCCAUCAGAAACAUGAAUGGGUCCAUGUCUUCCCUUCCUGCCUUAGCUCUUCCUGGUUGCCCUGGCUGAUCUUGGGUAAUGACAUCAUCUGACAUCAUCAUAUUCUAUGGUGAUUAUGCUCCCUGCCCCUGCCCCCAGGUUACCAUAGGAACAACCAUAAACAAUUCUGCAUCAUCACCAUUCCACUGCCUACUCCGUACCGGACGCUUCAUCGGUUAGGAGUGUUGGAAGUGGUCUCCUGUGAUUAGGAAAAUACACUUCCCCAAUCAACUUCUUCACCAUGGCAGGAGCACCCAACGAGCUUAAACUCAAUACCAAGGCAAAGAGGGAAAAAAGCCCAGAAAGUGAAGAGGAACGAAGCAGGAAAGGGACAAAGACAAAGAAAAGCUCAGAUCCCCCCAAAGCUCCAAAUGCUUGCAGUUCCUUCACCAGCGGCAAAAAUGGAGGCAGAGGUGCAAAAAAGGCAGCAAAGGACCCUGCAAACCGAGAGGUCAAUCUCAUGAUGCAGAGUGCUGGGUCUGGAAAAGAUCUUGCCCCAAGCAAGGCAUUGAAAACCGCGAAAAAGAAGGCGACAACCUCAGUGACAGCAGGGGUGGGACCUAAGCAAGUGGCCACUCAGGAGCCCCCUAAGCCACGUCGUAGGAGCCAUCUGGCCAUGCAGAUGACUGAGUCCCUGAACGUCUUCUACCCACUGAGGAAGGGCAAACCCCAGCUGGCGCCAGUGAAGAAACAGCUCCCUCUGGCUCCCUCCGCUCCAGAAUACCCAUUCCCACUGCCAGAAACAUGGGCAAGACCCCUGCCUUCCCUGCCAAGGAUCCCCAAAAUUUCAGCAUCCCCCUCAGGCCCUCAGCCACCCUCGCAGCCACCAUCAAAAUCUGUGGCAUCCUCUAUUCCGGUUAUAGCCUACAGAGCCUGCAAUCUUAUCCCACCCCCGCAAACCGAAGGCCUCCCCAUCCCAGCUAUACGAGGCCCCUGGAUGGAGACGGGCGGCCAGCACCUCCAUGAAGACCAGCGCUCCCCUUCCUCAUCCCCUCAUGCCUGGGCAAAGGCACUGGAGGGAAGCCAUCAACGCCCAGACACCCUUGGUCAUUGUGCGACAGCUUUGGGGCCACAUAAGAAGCCUCACAGUUCCCUCGUCAGUGGCAAAAAAGGUGGCAGAAGUGCCACCUGUUUUGACGACGUCGGAGAACAGUCUCAGGAGCCCCAAGCCAAGACAGACAUGCCCGUCUCAAGACCCUCCCAAGGGAAACCAUCUGAGGCACCCAAGGAGCCUAAACUCAAUACCAAGGCAAAGAGGGGUAAAAGCCCAGCAAGUGAAGGGGAACCAAGCAGGAAAGUGAGGAAGACAAAUGAAAGCUCAGAUCCCACCACUGCCUCUUGGGUGUUCUAGAUAGGAUCGCAUUCCAGCUCCCAUCAGCCUCAGUUAAAAAGGGCAAUGGCUAAAAGAUGAUGUAAUUUGGAGUCCAGCCACAUCCUGAAGGCUGCAUCCCCACCUGCACAUCAGAAUCCAUAGCAGUCUCUGGAGAAGAGGCUUAACUUAGUAGUAGAACAUCUGUUCUGCAUACCAAAGGACCAAGAUGAAACUCCUGUGAUCUUCAUUUAAAAUUAUUUUUAAAAACUGAGAUGGGCAACUCUGAUAUAUUCAGAAGGGCACAGCGCCUAAAAGGCAUCAAAGGACAUGUCUAUGACAACUGUAUUGUGGAUCUUACUUAUAAACUAUUCCAUAUCCUGAGCUCCAGAUUUAAGAUUCUUGUGGCAUUGAAUAAAACCUAGUGGUUGUAAAACUGGCA
ensembl:lncRNA